rnacentral:rRNA from 1 species
CACGUAGGGUGCGAGCGUUGUCCGGAAUUAUUGGGCGUAAAGAGCUCGUAGGCGGUGUGUCGCGUCGGCCGUGAAAACCUGCAGCUUAACUGUGGGCUUGCGGUCGAUACGGGCAUCACUGGAGUUCGGCAGGGGAGACUGGAAUUCCUGGUGUAGCGGUGGAAUGCGCAGAUAUCAGGAGGAACACCGGUGGCGAAGGCGGUUCUCUGGGCAUGUCCUGACGCUGAGGAGCGAAAGUGUGGGGAGCGAACAGG